rnacentral:rRNA from 1 species
AUAACACAGAUGAUGCCUAUCAACUGUUUAAAAAAGUAUAGGUUCUGCUAUCACUCUUGGAUUGGACCUGCGGUGCAUUAGCUAGUUUGGUAGGGUAACGGCCGUACCAAGGCGAUGAUGCAUAGCCGAGUUGAGAGACUGAUCGGCCACAUUGGGACUGAGACACGGCCCAAACUCCUACGGGAGGCAGCAGUAGGGAAUCUUCCACAAUGGACGCAAGUCUGAUGGAGCAACGCCGCGUGAGUGAAGAAGGGUUUCGGCUCGUAAAGCUCUGUUGUUGGUGAAGAAGGACAGGGGUAGUAACUGACCUUUGUUUGACGGUAAUCAAUUAGAAAGUCACGGCUAACUACGUGCCAGCAGCCGCGGUAAAU